ACGGAAGGCAGCCGUGAGGCAUAUUGGUCAAUGGUCGGAAGACUGAACCAGCCAAGUAGCGUGAAUUAUGACUGCCCUAUGGGUUGUAAACUUCUUUUAUGCGGGAAUAAAAAGGAUUACGUGUAGUCUGUUGCAUUUACCGCAUGAAUAAGGAUCGGCUAAUUCCGUGCCAGCAGCCGCGGUAAUACGGAAGAUCCGAGCGUUAUCCGGAUUUAUUGGGUUUAAAGGGAGCGUAGGCGGGCCUUUAAGUCAGUGGUCAAAGCGUGUGGCUCAACCAUACCACGCCGUUGAUACUGGAGGCCUUGAGUGCACAUAAGGAUGGUGGAAUUCAUGGUGUAGCGGUGAAAUGCGUAGAUAUCAUGAAGAACUCCGAUUGCGAAGGCAGCUGUCCGGGGUGUAACUGACGCUAAUGCUCGAAAGUGCGGGUAUCAAACAGGAUUAGAUACCCUGGUA
rnacentral:rRNA from 1 species